rnacentral:rRNA from 1 species
GUAGGUGGCAAGCGUUGUCCGGAAUUAUUGGGCGUAAGGCGCGCGCAGGCGGUCCUUUAAGUCUGAUGUGAAAGCCCACGGCUCAACCGUGGAGGGUCAUUGGAAACUGGGGGACUUGAGUACAGAAGAGGAAAGCGGAAUUCCAAGUGUAGCGGUGAAAUGCGUAGAGAUUUGGAGGAACACCAGUGGCGAAGGCGGCUUUCUGGUCUGUAGCUGACGCUGAGGCGCGAAAGCGUGGGGAGCAAACAGGGAUUAGAUACCCUGGUAGUCCACGCCGUAAACGAUGAGUGCUAAGUGUUAGGGGGUUUCCCGCCCCUUAGUGCUGCAGCUAACGCAUUAAGCACUCCGCCUGGGGAGUACGGCCGCAAGGCUG